rnacentral:rRNA from 1 species
GACGAACGCUGGCGGCGUGCCUAAUACAUGCAAGUUGAGCGAUGAAGAUUGGUGCUUGCACCAAUUUGAAGAGCAGCGAACGGGUGAGUAACGCGUGGGGAAUCUGCCUUUGAGCGGGGGACAACAUUUGGAAACGAAUGCUAAUACCGCAUAACAACUUUAAACAUAAGUUUUAAGUUUGAAAGAUGCAAUUGCAUCACUCAAAGAUGAUCCCGCGUUGUAUUAGCUAGUUGGUGAGGUAAAGGCUCACCAAGGCGAUGAUACAUAGCCGACCUGAGAGGGUGAUCGGCCACAUUGGGACUGAGACACGGCCCAAACUCCUACGGGAGGCAGCAGUGGGGAAUCUUCGGCAAUGGACGAAAGUCUGACCGAGCAACGCCGCGUGAGUGAAGAAGGUUUUCGGAUCGUAAAACUCUGUUGGUAGAGAAGAACGUUGGUGAGAGUGGAAAGCUCAUCAAGUGACGGUAACUACCCAGAAAGGGACGGCUAACUACGUG